rnacentral:rRNA from 1 species
ACUUACGGCCAUACCAUCCUGAAUACGCCCGAUCUCGUCUGAUCUUGGAAGCUAAGCAGGGUUGGGCCUGGUUAGUACUUGGAUGGGAGACCAACUGGGAAUACCAGGUGCUGUAAGUG